AUCAACGUUCAAAUUACACUGAAUGCACUCGUUCUCGUCCGAUCACGAAUGUUGAGCACUGCUGGGCAAGGAUAGUAUUUGGAAGGGAUCGUUUGAGAAUGACAACAGAGAAAAAUAAAGUUU
rnacentral:rRNA from 1 species